ensembl:snRNA U6 U6 spliceosomal RNA
CUGCUUUGGCAGCACAUAUCCUAAAAUUGGAAUGAUGCAGAGAAGGUUAGUGUGGCCCAUGUGUAAGGAUGGCACACAAAUUUGUGAAGUGUCCCAUAUAAAA